rnacentral:rRNA from 1 species
AUACAGAGGGCAGCGAUACCGCGAGGUGGAGCGAAUCUCACAAAGUACGUCGUAGUCCGGAUUGGAGUCUGCAACUCGACUCCAUGAAGUCGGAAUCGCUAGUAAUCGCAAAUCAGAAUGUUGCGGUGAAUACGUUCCCGGGCCUUGUACACACCGCCCGUCACACCAUGGGAGUGGGCUGCAAAAGAAGCAGGUAGUUUAACCUUCGGGAGGACGCUUGCCACUUUGUGGUUCAUGACUGGGGUGAAGUCGUAACAAGGUAGCGCUAGGGGAACCUGGCGCUGGAUCACCUCCUUACACGAUGAU